AUGAGCUACCGCACCGGGCCAAGAAAAACAACACUCUUAACCCGGGCACAGAACAAAAAUUCUGUGGCUUCUCCCGUUGCUGCCUGUGGCUGUGCAGCCAACCUGCUCAGAAGGAGCUGGGUCGCGCCACUGUGCGAAACCUGCCAGCUCCACAUGGCAGGUGAAAUGCACUGGUUUAGAACUUCUGAUGUCUUUCAAACCACUCUAGCCAGUGUAGCCCCAGUAUUUACCACGACAAAAUUUGACAGAGAAAUGUUACUUCUUUUAAAGGGAAGAACACUUGAGUUAUACCAAGAGUUAGGUCUUCAAGCCAGAGAUUUGAGAUUUCACCAUGUAAUGAGUAUCACAGCCAGAAAUAAUAGGAUUAUCAUGAGAAUGGAGUAUUUGAAAGCUGGGAUAACUCGAGAGUGUCUUCUGAUUUUAGAUUAUCAUAAUUUAAACUCACAGCAAUGGCUGUUCCGAGAACUCUCUUCACAAUUGUCUGGAGAGGGUCAACUUGUUAUAAACCCUUUAACUUUUUGAGUUUAGAGCUAUAGAAGCGCUCCCGCAAUACUUGAUCAACACCCUUCAGGUGAAACUUAGCAUUUUCCAGCCACUGAUCCUCGAGACGUUGGAAGCUUUGGUGGACCCCAAACAUUCUUCUAUAGACAGAAGCAAACUCCACAUUUUACUACAGAACAGCAAAAGUCUACUAGAGUUAGAAACAGAUAUUAAAAUUUUCAAAGAGUCAAUCUUGGAGAUCUUGGAUGAGGAAGAGUUGCUAGAAGAGUUCUAUCAAAAUGGAGUGACCCACAAGUCUUUGAAAAGAGCAGUAAUGGGACUGACCAUGCAGAGGAGAUGGAGUUGCUGAUGGAAAACUACUACCAACUGGCUGACGAUCUCUCCAAUGCAGCUUAGGAGCUUAGAGUACUGAUUGAUGAUUCACAAAGUAUUAUUUUCAUCAAUCCUGACAGCCACCGUAACGUGAUAAUGAAGUUGAAUCUACAGCUGACCAUAAGAACCUUCUCUCUUUUGCUCUUUGGAGUAAUGGGAGUUGCUUUUGGAAUGAGUUUGGAAUCUCCCCUUGAAGAGGCCCAACGAGUGUUUUGGCUGAUUACAGGAAUUACGUUCAUGGGAAGUGGCCUUAUCUGGAGGUGCCUGCUUUCAUUCCUUGGACAACAGCUAGAAGCUCCACUGCCUCGCAUGACGGCCUCCUUACCUAAAAAGACUCUUCUAGCAGAUACAAGCGUGGAACAAAAAACAGCCUCAGACCCGAUGGACUUGGAUCAGGCAGGAGUAUCCUAACAAACAAUGAGGAACAACCCUAUGGACACUGAAGUUUUUUUUUUUAAUAAUCACAAGUAACUUCUGAUACUUUCAUUAUUUUCUUGUAUGGAGUUAGACACUUGAAAAAAAAUAAUAUCUGAUGACAAAAUAUUUUGGAAGUCACAAUACUAGAACUUGAUUGCAUUUCCAGAAUUCUGAGUUAAAGAAACAAAGUGUUUGCUUUGUAACAGGCUAUAAUUCUAUUUCCUGCAAACUUUAAAUGCUGUUUUUAGACAUGAUGUGAGACAACACAAGAACAGAGAGUUGUAUAAAUUUUAUUUAAUUUAUACAUAACAAGAAAAGUACAAUUUCAGGCUGAAUGAAGCCUAGGAGCUUGACAAACCCAUAGGAAGCCACAGUUCUUUGUCACUACAAGGAAUUACCUUCAUGUGAAUUUCCUGAUUCUCAGGUGACUAAAAGCUACCAUUCUAUGUAUGAACCUUAAAACAAAUUCUGGAAGUUUGUGCUUUAAAAACCAAACUUUGACAUAACAUUAUUUUCUUAUAUUUGCCCCCCCUUUUAUAUAAGAUGAAUAAAAAGAAAUAACUUUUUAAAAAAGACCCAACUGAACUUGUAUUGAAAGGAUUUGUAUCCAGAACAUAAAAUCCAGGACAUAAAAAGAACACUAAAAACUCAGUAACAAAAAAAAAAAAAAAAUUU